rnacentral:lncRNA from 1 species
AUUAACAGAGCUGUCAAAGUCACAGGAACAAGGAUGUGCACCUCAGAAACACAGAGGCUAGCCUGGCUGAAGCUCAGCUGCGCAGAGUCUGUCCUGAGAAGCAGCAAUGCCACUGUCCCCUGGGCCCUCCAGACUGCCAAGACUGCUCAGUUUCAGAGAGCAGGCUCCCUGUGGCCUUACAUGCCGGCUGCCAGCUGGGCCAGGCAACUCUGGCCAGGCUGCACUGUGAAGAACACGAGAGUCGGCAGAGACCUGUGCUUGCUCUCCUCAGCCUCAGUGUCUGGAAGACAAAAAAAGGCAUCCUGUUCCCAAGAUUGUGGUGGAGGCCAGCAGGGUGACGCACAUGAAAGCCACUGGAGAUAGAUGGCACUUGUUCCAACCCACUGCCCACAACAGGCCCAGGACUGCCUCAUCCCCGGUGGACCCCAGAGCCAGCAGGCCCUUCAGAAUGGAAGGUGCCAAACACCAUCGGAAGGCGUGGUUCUUUUCAGGGAACCGGACUCUGAGACUGUGGCCUCCCACUAUGAGUCACCUCUGAUUCCUGAGGUCCCCUCCAGUCAUUGGCUCUCUCCCAAGCCAGCCAGCUGAUCAGCCUUGAAGACAGCAGAGUGUCUGCCAAGAGAGAUCUGUGAAGUUUCCCAUCACCGUGGCAGUCCACCAUGUGGAGCCCCUGAGGCCACCCUUCUCCAUGUGUCCCCCACACUGUCCCUGACCCUCCCACCAUCCUGGAAAACCAGCCUCCCAGGUCCUCUGUCAUGGAAGUAAUUUAGAGCAAGGCAGAAAGAGCUGAAAGAUUUAUAAAUGUGUAAAAUUUACAAAGGUGUUUCUUUCUUUCUUUCUUUCUUUUUUUUUUUUUUUUUUUUUUUUUGAGGCAGAGUCUCACUCUGUUGCCCAGGCUGGAGUGCAGUGGCACUAUUUUGGCUCACUGCAACCUCCGCCUCCCAGGUUCAAGUGAGUCUCCUGCCUCAGCCUCCCAAGUAGCUGGGAUUACAGGUGCACGCCACCAUGCCUGGCUAAUUUUUGUAUUUUUAGUAGAGACAGAGUUUUGCCAUGUUGGCCAGGCUGGUCUUGAACUCCUGACCUCAGGUGAUCCGCCUGCCUCGGCCUCCCGAAGUGCUGGGAUUACAGGCGUGAGUCACCGUGCCCGGCCUACAAAGGUGUUUCUGAGUGGAGAAACCACUGCCUGGUUGGACUGACUGCCCAGUUCCACCACCCUGUGAGCCCAUGAGCGAGCUCGCUGCACUUGUUAUAGACACCCUACCACCAGCAGCCUGAUUUUGCAAGUCCAAUCUCAUGGCCCUGCCUUUCACCUCACUUGCUGCCUUAAAAACCUGCGGACUGAGGUGGCCUAGAAGCUGUGACAUCCCAGUACCCAGAAGUUCAUCUCACACCCAGAUCUUGGUUUCUAAAUGUCAUUCUCUACUAAAAGGGACGAGGGCUGGUACAGGAGAAGAGCAAGAGCUUGGAAUAUCUUAUACCUGAGAGUAAGGAAGUGCUCAGAGAAUCACAGGAGCAUGUUAAAAGGACAUAGAAGUCAGUUUAAUGAGACUUCUUCUGGCCAAAGUUGGAACACAUCAAACAUUAAAACAAUGAUGGUAAUGGAUUAGAUUCCAUAGAAUAAAAUCCUUGAGGACAUAGUGAUAUAAACAUAACUGAGGAAGAAGCAACAGCUCUCCCUAACAGAAUAAUACAACUAGUAAAUGGGAAAGGAAUGGAGUUAGAGGAAUUCACGCUGGGUAUUCAAACUAGCGGGUGAAAGCUCAAUGAAUCGGAUUCUUAGUUUCAAUGUCUCUCCUCUCAAUUUAGUAAUUAUAGUGUAGUAAUUGUGACUUUACAGUGGAGAAACCUGGCCAACACUACCUUCACAACACUAACAAAAACCUUGUAGACCUGCAGCCUAAGCUCCCAGAAGUCACCUACUGAAAUGCCUUCAAAGAGUGACCUCUCUGCAUGCGGUGCUCAGCAACUUGGGCUCAGUGUCAGUCUAUUUCCACAAGCUACAAACCAGAAUACAGGGGAAUUCAGCCCAUAUGUGGUAAUUUAUCUACCAAUCACGGACCUUUGACUCCAAAAAUUACCUUUUUUGUACAAGUGACCACCUGGUGUAGAGCUCAGACACGGCUUUGAAUUUUUGCUAUGCUGUGUGAGCUCAGGCAAGCUGCUUCACCUCUCUGAGCUUCAACCGUUUAUCUAUAAAAUGGGAAUAACAAUAUCCUAAUUAAUGAAACAGCAAUUCCAGUGUUAGGUAUUUCCUCAGGAGAAAUGAAAACAUGUUCACACAAAUAAUUGUACAUGUAUGUUUCUACACGCUUUAUUCAUAAUAGUCAUAAACAACCUAAAUAUUCAUCAACUGGUUAGCAGAGAAAAGAACAAACCACUGAUGACAUGAACGAAUUUCAGAAGCACUGUGCUCAGUGAAAGAAGCCAGACAAAAAUUACAUCUUACAUAAAUUUCAUUUAUAUGAAAUUCUAGUAAAGGCAAAACAUAUAGCCAGGGGCCGAGAGGGGAGGAGGAUGAUCUGCAAAGAGGCAGGAGCUUCCUGGGGUGAUGGGAAUACUCUGUGUCAUGAACAUCGUGAUUGUGGUUACAAGACUGUAUACUUUUGUCAAAACUCAUCAAAUUGUACACCUAAAAUGGAUGCAUUAAGCCUCAAUACAGCCAAUAAAAGAUACCUACGUUACAGUA